AGAGCUCUUGCCUAGCAUCCAAGAAAAAUGAGGUUACAUGGACACUUGAAGGAUUGUGGAGGCAGAUAAUUUUACUUAGCAAUGGAAAUGGCUGUCAGUGGAGAGAGGAGCUACAGGGGACCAGAAGGACAAGUCAUCUUCCCCUGAAGUCCAGCGGUCUCCAGCCAGCUCUUCCUUGAAGUCAAGCCAUCUCUCCGAAGUCAAGCCAUCUCUCCUCCUAAGUCCAGCCAUCCCUCUAAAGUCAAGUCACCUCUCUCUCUUCUACUGAGAUCUGGAGCCACCUGCAUUCCUUGAAUCAUGAUCAUCUUCCUUGUUCAAAGCACAUUAUUCCAACCACUGCUUAUGUCAUCACAUCUCUUUUCUGAGACUGUGACCUGCUUGCCUCCCUGUUAUGGGAACCCAUAUGAUUCUGCUCGACUGUCCUUAGUAAAAUUAUACAGAAUGCCAUGAUGAGAGUAUACUUUCUACGGCCUAUAUUAGCUCAGUUGCCUUCAAAAUCCUGACACUAAGGAAGGAGUCAGGUAUUUGUAUUGUGACGUGAUCCAUGAAAACAAGAGAGCAGAAGCAGAAGAACAAAAGACAGAAGAAAGGAAGAAACAGUGAGUUAUCAAGCUUUUCAUCAGUAGGAGAAAGUAGGUGUCAAGCAAGAGACUCACUGAGAAGCCAGGUUGGAUCUUUUCCAACUUUUCUCUCUGAGAAACAAAAAUGUUUGUACACUAAUACCUCACCACCAUUUUAUUAAGUUUUGCUCCACAGGAUGUUAAGAUAGUUAAAAUUUCCAAGUUUGUACAUGUAUAUGAAUAUGUACAUAUAUUAUAGGCUUUCCCUCAUGGCGGUGAAAAGGGAGUUUUAGAAAAUAAAGAGAGAAAUAUGCUAAUCACAGCUAAAGUGAGAUGUUGUCAAAAUACAUCUAGUCACCAUAGCGACAAGUAGAGUAAAUAGUUGUCUUGAAAAGAGUAGUUGAAGCACAAGAGAUGUCCAAUACCACUUCAGCUACCAUAAAAGACAUGGACUUUUAUGAGAUUGAUAAAAUAAAUUGAAUUUUGUAAGAC